AGCGUACAUGCAGGAAGAAGAAGGGAUGAACUCCAAAACCUUGGUUGAUCUUCAAACAAAGAUAACUUUUGAUCCGGAGUUUCGAUUGACAAACCAUUUGCGACUACGCGUUCACCACGACGAGCUCUACGAAACCCAUGGAACAAUUUGGUUCAAGUUAGCUUUCAGGACUUAUGGGUUCACGCUAUUGAUCAUAUGGGUAUGAUGCAGGUCGAGAGGCUCCUCGCUAGACAUCUGGAUCCUGAAGUGGAGUAGUCCUUGGGUUAUUUUGGGUUUUAUGAUUGUAUACCUAUAUACUUAGCUUGCUCUCCAAGAAACUUGUUUAUUAUGUUCCUCAUAGAGGUUACAGGAGAGUUAGGACUUUAUUUCUAUAUUUUGGAUAU